rnacentral:rRNA from 1 species
GGGGAAAUGGGGGAAGUCCUGAAGCAGCCCGCCGCGUGAGUGAUGAAGGCCUUCGGGUUGUAAAGCUCUUUCUUCAGGGAGGAAAGUGUUGUGGUUAUAAACUUGGCACCUGACCUUUCCCUGACAGCAAGCCCCCGGCUACUUCAUGCCCACCGCCGCUAUAAUAA